UACGGAAUGUGCAAACGUUAUUCGGAAUCACUGGGCUUAAAGAGUCCGUAGGCGGCAUGUUAGGUGAGGUGUGAAAUCCCCCGGCUCAACCGAGGAAUUGCGCUUCAAACCGGCGUGCUUGAGGAAGAUAGAGGUGGGCGGAACUGAUGGUGGAGCGGUGAAAUGCGUUGAUAUCGGGAGGAACACCUAUGGCGAAGGCAGCUCGCUGGGACGUUACUGACGCUGAGACGCGAAAGCGUGGGGAGCAAUCAGG
rnacentral:rRNA from 1 species